rnacentral:lncRNA from 1 species
UCUACUAAGGUCCAGACUUGGUUGGAAUACAUGGAGUCUAUCUCUGACUUCAUGGCUUCCAGCCAUUUCUCGGAAUCGAUAUCUGAUAUCGCCUCAUUGUAGGUAUUGGGAUCCUGUACAUAUUCCCUAUCUCCCAUGAGAAACAUUUCCUCGGUGUCCUCUACUAGUAUACCUAAGUAUCUAUCGGGAGGAUGGAAGACCCUACUAGAUCUACGAGGUGGAGGAGGUACUAUGUGUACUGGCUCUAUGUGAAUAGGUUCUAUAGGAUCCAUUACUCGUUGCUUUUCAGAGACUCUCUCUUUAAGCUC